UCAGGCUUUGCAGCCUCUGGCUAAAGACGGUGUAGUGACUUUUUUUUAAAGCUGGAGAACCAAACGACUGUUUGCACUGAACCACCAACCGCGACAGAUCAACCGAUUAAAAUGGAUUAAAACUAGGUACAGUCGGGACACAACGGAGAGCCCACAGCAAUUUCUCGGUUGUCUUACAUAAAAUCUUGGAUAUUAUCUAUGUUUCAAUAGAACAGUUUUUCGGCGUUGUUGGGAUCUAAAAUAAAUAAAUCGUGGCGGCAACGUGUUCUAUGGCGUGUCACAAUCAUUCGUUACGUUUUAAAUACCUAUCUCAGCAUUUGUUAUAACCACAGACAAACAGACGUCUCACUCUACUCACUUCUCAUCGUUACCCUUUUUAACGGUUAGUUCAAAUAUUUUGUAGUUCGCAAAUCGCUCGGUUACGGCGCUCGCAUCGUUUUUGCUCCUGUUUAACGUUUGCUCACUACUGCAACCUACUGAGUGGUUUGCGUAGCACAGCCUGGUUAGCAUUGGGCGAUUAUGUUUUCGUGACGAUGAUUUUUUUCGCAAUUUGUUCCAAGUGAUACGUCUGUUUGUAUGUGUUAUAACUAUUAAGAUAAUACUCACCUGAAGCUAUGAACAAUUCUGGACAUGUUUAUUCUUAUCAGACGCUUUAUAAAACAUCCUGCAUUUAUUGAGCUUCUAUUAACACGCUCGGCGCAAGUUUGCAGCUAAUCAACAGCACCGGCCGAGCUACAGCGAAAAGUGCUCAAUAUAGAAGCCCUACCCAAACGGUCUUAACUAAUCCCAUAUCAACAUAAUUUUUCAUCAAUAAGUCCACGGCGUCUUGCAGUCAUGUGUGACUCAAAUUUUCUUCAAAACUUUAUCAUAGAUGAAUAUUGAAACUAAGGCUAUCUCCAAUAGCGUAUGAGAGUUUAAACAGUGUUGGUAAAAACUCAAAUUCUCAAAUCUCAUGCUUGAGUUGUUUCACGCGCGAUUCGACUCGCCAAACUCACUGCCGAAAAAAAUAAUGCAAGAGUUGACUCGCGAUUUCACUCAUUGCGUUAUUUCUUGGUGUUCGUAUGAUAGAACAAAAGCAAACCUAUUGUACAACAACAUUGGGAUUCGUUUUACAAGCGAACGAGAUUUCGGCGCUUGACUCGUGAGAGCGAGAUUUUGCAUGAAAAUCUCGCGCGUGAGAAAAUGAUUCAGAAUCGCGCGCGAGUUUACUCACGCAGGAGCGGUUCAUGAGUGAGCUUUGAGUGUGAUUUUACCAACACUGGUUUAAAAAAAACAUGUAGAUGCAGUAUACAUCUUCAGCAGAUCCAAGAACAUCUCUAGCAGUGCUCCAGUUAUUUUUUAUAGCAGUAAGUUACAAAUUCCCCUUAUUGUCAAUGCUCUGCUGGAGAUGCCCAAGAUGCAUUUGGAACUUGCAAACGCUGUCCACCAUAUAUGUAUAUGGCCUUAUGAAGUAAUUAAAGUCCUUUAUGUAUUGAAUUCAAAUGAAGGCGAAUUUGCAAUACAAAUUAUUUAUUAUUAGUAUUGUUUCUGUACCAACACCAAAGAACCAAACGCAAUCACUUUUCGAGGUACAAUUUGUGGAAUGCAGAGUAAAGAAAACGCCUGAAACCGCAGGCGCGGUGGAAUCGCUGAUUUCAUAAAAUAAAGCAUUCAAAGUACUUAAGACACGUGAUAUUUUUUUGUUUUAAGAUGUGAGACCAAUUGAGCCUUUUUCAAUUUAUAGCUCAGUCCAUUUUAUUACCAAUUGACUUUUUGUACACGUAACCUAUUCAGCCGUGUACAGAAAUUCAAGUCAAUUGGCAUUACAUUUUAGGGUCCUGUGGACAAAGGGAACGGCUGGAACGGCGUGGGCGUGAGUAUUCAGGAUAAGCAUGCUGUGGGCGACUGGUUUGAUUCCCUUUUGGGCCAGGAUAUUUUUGUAAUGGGAAUUUCCUUGACUUCCUUGGGCAUUCGGCCGUCCCUUAUUUUGCAAAAAUUGGAAAUGUUAUAAGUUCGUAAGUGGAAAAUGAUCGCUUUAGCUAAGAAAUGAUCGUGUCAAAAUUUGAAGUCCAUAUCUCAAGGCUAUACACGAAAAAUAAUUUAAUGAUUUUAUUCAUGAAGAUUGAUUAAUGUUUUUUAUUAGAUACGACGUUAUUAAUUUUAUAAAAUCAACUAAUUAUGUUCAUAAAAUGACAUAAUAAUAGCCAUAACAUUUCCUUAUACCAUGUAUAAGUUUUGUGUUAUGGCUAGAGAAGUAUAAGAUUGAGCUAAUAAAUUCACUAAGGUUUUGUUUUGAAAACCAGAAACAAAACGGCGCCAAAUUUUAUUCAACGUGGGCCAUCGUAACGCGUUGUAUCUCACCGCCAACAAUGAAAAAGGAGUUUUGUAAGCCUGCGGAACAGCGCUCGAAGAUCACGAACCAAGACCAGAAUGUAAAGAGAUUUCCUCCCAUCCCAGUACCUCGACACUGUGGCAGACAGACGGCGGAGCCACUCGCUUGGUCGGAGCUGGAGCGGAGAUUCCAGCUGGCUUCGCUACUGCUCGGCGCUCCAACUGGCAAAGGGCGGUGCCACCCGCUGCCGGAAUGGAGAUGCUGGCUCCGUUUCUCCUCGAUACUCCGGCAAUCUAAGAGUACUAGUAUGUACUACUACCCGCUUCUUUACUGCCGAAGCGGAGGUUCCGGCUGGCACUGUUACUCCUUGAUCAUCCGGCUCACAGAAUCACCCAUUGUCGGAACGAGAAUCCCUGCUGAUCCGCCGCCCUAAGACUG